rnacentral:rRNA from 1 species
UACGUAGGGGGCAAGCGUUGUCCGGAUUUAUUGGGCGUAAAGCGCUCGCAGGCGGUCCGAUGCGUCGUGCGUGAAAGCCCCCGGCUCAACUGGGGAGGGUCAUUCGAUACUGAUCGACUCGAAGGCAGGAGAGGGUAGUGGAAUUCCCGGUGUAGUGGUGAAAUGCGUAGAUAUGCGGAGGAACACCGAUGGCGAAGGCAAUCCCCUGGGCCUGCACUGACGCUCAUGCACGAAAGCGUGGGGAGCAAACAGG